UACGGGGGGGGCAAGCGUUGUUCGGAAUUACUGGGCGUAAAGGGCGUGUAGGCGGCCAACUAAGUCCGACGUGAAAUCCCCAGGCUUAACCUGGGAACUGCGUCGGAUACUGGAUGGCUUGAAUCCGGGAGAGGGAUGCGGAAUUCCAGGUGUAGCGGUGAAAUGCGUAGAUAUCUGGAGGAACACCGGUGGCGAAGGCGGCAUCCUGGACCGGCAUUAACGCUAAAGCGCGAAAGCCAGGGGAGCAAACGGG
rnacentral:rRNA from 1 species